GCAGGUUGGCCACCCAGUAAUCAGCACAAGUUAGAUUGAGGGCAACUCGGCAGUCGUUGCGCAGGCACUUUGGUGACUCUAGAUAAGCUCGGGCCGAUUGCACGUCCCCAUGACAGCGACGACGCAUUCGGAUGUCUGCCCUAUCAACUUUCAGUGGUACUUUCUGUGCCUACCAUGGUGACCACAGGUAAUGGGCAAUCAGGGUUCGAUUCUGGAGAGGGAGCCUGAGAAACGGCUACCACAUCCAAGGAAGGCAGCAGGCGCGCAAAGUAACCACUCCUUACGCGGGGAGGUAGUGAC
rnacentral:rRNA from 1 species